AUGGCGCAAUCUGAUAAGGGGAUGCCUCAAAUUGGCAUGAUAUUCAAAAGUCAAGUGGAGUCUUGGUUGUUUUGGGUAGCAUAUGGUGGUCGUGUAGGCUUUGAUGUGAGGAAAAUGUACACCAAUGUGAGCAAAUUUGAUGGUAAGGUAACUUCCUGUAGACAUGUUUGUGCCAAUGAAGGUCAUCGGAAAAAAAUGCAAAGAGAAUCCAUUCGGAAGUGCUUUAGAGCUGAGACAAGAACUGAUUGUAAAGCUCGAAUGACUCUUACAUUGGAUCGAGAGUCUGGAAAUUUGGAAGUCACGGAUGUAGUUCUUGAACAUAAUCACUUGCUUCACUUGCCACAAACCCUCCACCUCAUGGUGUCCCAAAGGAAAAUUUCAGAAUUUCAAGCAUAUGAAAUUGAAGCCGCAGAUGAUUCUGGAAUUAGGCCUAAAGCUGUAUAUGAGCUUGCUACUCGUCAGGUUGGCGGACCACUUAAUCUCAGCUACACUUGUCGAGACCACAGAAAUCUUUUGCAAAGCAAGAGGCAAAGAGAGCUUGCUUUUGGUCAGGCAGGCAGCAUGUUAAAGUACUUUCGUGGAAAAGUUGCUGAAAAUCCAUCAUUUCAAUAUGCUUUGCAACUAGAUUGCGAGGAUAAUAUAUCAAACAUUUUCUGGGCUGAUGCUAAAAUGAUGUUAGACUAUGCACACUUUGGCGAUGUUGUCACAUUUGACACUACUUUUGGUACAAACAAGGAAUAA
rnacentral:rRNA from 1 species